CCCAUCUCCACCCAAUCCGUCUUUAGAUAGAGUUUCCUCGACUCUUGAUAGCAUCAGCCUUACCGUCACCCUGGAUCUACUCCGACUGCACAAUCUCAUGGUGUAAGAAGAUCGGACAACAUAAUUCGUGUUUAUUAAUUCAAGAGACGUAGGAAGAGGAGGUUCAUUGUGGAAGUUGUGGCAUGGUGCAAAAGAAAUAGGGAAUGAUGGUGUAAUGAAAAGUUAUGGCAUGACAGCUAUUGCGAAAUGCUCUUAUGGAAUUAUUCCCAAGGUA